rnacentral:rRNA from 1 species
AUGGUGCAGACGAGGAGGCAUAUUAUGUACCCUUUGUUCUAUCGGUUGUUGAAAUUAGUAAUUGUGUUGCCUAUUGCUACUGCUACAGUUGAGAGGUGUUUCUCAGCAAUGAAAUUGGUCAAAACUUGCUUGCGCAAUCGCCUCAACGAUGACAGCUUGAGUGAUGAUGUUAUUUGUUAUGUGGAGAAGGAAGAAAUGAAAAAGGUCACCAAUGAUCAAGUGGUUGAGUAUUUCAUGGCUCGAAGGAAGAGAAUGUACUAA